GGAAUAUUGGUCAAUGGAGGGAACUCUGAACCAGCCAUGCCGCGUGCAGGAUGACUGCCCUAUGGGUUGUAAACUGCUUUUGUCAGGGAAUAAACCUUUCCACGUGUGGGAAGCUGAAUGUACCUGAAGAAUAAGGAUCGGCUAACUCCGUGCCAGCAGCCGCGGUAAUACGGAGGAUCCAAGCGUUAUCCGGAUUUAUUGGGUUUAAAGGGUGCGUAGGCGGUCCUAUAAGUCAGUGGUGAAAGACGGCAGCUUAACUGUCGCAGUGCCUUUGAUACUGUAGGACUUGAAUCUAUUUGAAGUGGGCGGAAUAAGACAAGUAGCGGUGAAAUGCAUAGAUAUGUCUUAGAACUCCGAUUGCGAAGGCAGCUCACUAAGUUAGUAUUGACGCUGAUGCACGAAAGCGUGGGGAUCAAACAGGAUUAGAUACCCCAG
rnacentral:rRNA from 1 species